rnacentral:tRNA from 1 species
GCUUCCUUAGCACAGUCGGUAGUGCGUCUCACUCGUAAUGAGAAGGUCGUCGGUUCGAGUCCGAUAGGGAGCU